CGACGAACUGCACCAACACACUCGUUAUCACCUGUGUCGGCGCGAUGUCUACCUUGAACCAUACUGACCGCCUCCUUGCUCUGGUCGACGCGGGCGACGCAGAAGGGAUAAAGGCCGCCCUCGCCGUCCACUCGGCUGAUGCCCUCGAAGAAUUUGUCGACGAGUGUCCGCUGCACUUGGCCGCCCGGAGAGGCCGCGAAGAGGCGGUGGAGGCGCUGCUGGCCGAGGGAGCCGACCCCAAUGGCCAGGCCGCUUUUGGUAAGGAAGCCAGCCAAGCUUUGGCUUUGCCUUUUCCGGUAUUUUUUCUUGCCGUUUCCUUGUUACUGCAUUCAUUUCACAAUGACUUUUAUCUCUCUUCUUUUUUUCUUUCGCUCCUUUUCCCUUUCUCUCCCUCUCCUCUCUUACAUUUUCCCUUUUCUUCCUCCAGCCGUUCUCUCUCUUACAUUUCUUCCUUCUUUCAGU